UACGGAGGAUGCAAGCGUUAUCCGGAAUGAUUGGGCGUAAAGCGUCCGCAGGUGGCUAUGUAAGUCUGCUGUUAAAGAGCAAAGCUUAACUUUGUAAAAGCAGUGGAAACUACAUAGCUAGAGUGCGUUCGGGGCAGAGGGAAUUCCUGGUGUAGCGGUGAAAUGCGUAGAGAUCAGGAAGAACACCGGUGGCGAAGGCGCUCUGCUAGGCCGCAACUGACACUGAGGGACGAAGGCUAGGGGAGCGAAUGGG
rnacentral:rRNA from 1 species